GCCUGCGUAGUCCAACAGCAGAGACCUCCGCCUCAAAAGCGGCCCAGUGUGAGUGCAACUCUCACCGCAGGCACCA
rnacentral:tRNA from 1 species